GCUGGGCACGAUGGCACGUGCCUGUAGUCCCAGCUACUCAGGAGGCUGAGGUGGGAGGAUCGCCUGAGCCCAGGAGUUCUGGGCUGUAGUGCGGUCUGCCAAUUGGGUAUCCGUACUAAGUUCGGCAUCAAUAUGGUGAUCUCCCGGGAGCAGGGGACCACCAGGUUGCCUAAGGAGGGGUGAACUGGUCCAGGUCGGAAACAGAGCAGGUCAAAACUCCCGUGCUGAUCAGUAGUGGGAUCGUGCCUGUGAAUAGCCACUGCACUCCAGCUUGGACAACAUAGUGAGACCCAGUCUCU
rnacentral:SRP_RNA from 1 species